UACGUAGGGGGCAAGCGUUGUCCGGAUUUAUUGGGCGUAAAGAGCGUGUAGGCGGCCGUACAGGUCAGCUGUGAAAACUCGAGGCUCAACCUCGAGACGUCGGUUGAAACCGUACGGCUAGAGUACGGAAGAGGCGAGUGGAAUUCCUGGUGUAGCGGUGGAAUGCGCAGAUAUCAGGAGGAACACCAAUAGCGAAGGCAGCUCGCUGGGACGUUACUGACACUGAGGCGCGAAAGCGUGGGGAGCGAACAGG
rnacentral:rRNA from 1 species